CCCUGAUGUAGUUGGAGAAGAAAUGGACAUAAGAGGAACAAGCUCCAGUGUGUCAUCCCGCUUCUUACUCUGAUCAUUCUCACGUUCAUCUCUAAGUUUCUUGAGGUUAGGGGUGAUGUCUUAUUCAGUGUCAUAACCUUUUAUUAGCCAGUGCAAUACCUUAGCGUGCAAUGUGUUAAGGGAAUGACUGAAACACUCUUUCUGGAGUUCUGGCUACCUGUGGGUGGGCCUGCAGGCUGCUUUAGGAAUAUUUGAUGAAGAUACUUUUAUUCACAGAUGUGUUCACAAAUGUCCAGCACUUUGGGCAUCACUGGUGCCAUGCAUAUUUCAUGCUAAUGAUUUGGUGAGAUUUGCAGCUCUUGCAAAAGAAGAAAAGAGUGCUUGCCUGCUUUCUUUAGGAUGCAGUCUGGUGAUCUUGUGUCUAGGUUGAAGACUCCCAGAACUGUCUUGAUUGCAGUGAGAGCUGAGGCCUGACGGGGUGAAAUAUCCAACUGUAGCAGUGGAGCAUACAUUGAGUGUCCUAGUUAUAAAAAAAAAUUAACUGUAAACAGCCUCAGUUCCAUGCGUGUUAUUGACCCGAAGACCUUCCAGUGGGACAAGAUGUGUCAGUGGAAGACAGUGAUAUUGAUGAUCCUGACCCUGGG